GUCACUGCAAAAUCAGUGACAGGGCGUAGGAACCCUUUUUUACCCUCGGCGCGCAAGUGUCCACCUUUCUGAUUGCGGCACUUUUUUU
rnacentral:ncRNA from 1 species